CCGGCCACUCAUCUUCACCAGCGACGAGCGGGCGAACCGAUAACUGGGGACUUCUGCAACGAGUGGAAGAUUAGGAAAAUUCACAAUACAGAGGUGUUUGCCAGAUUGUGCCCGCUCAAGAAGGCCCGCUGCUGACUAGACGAGCUUUUGGUCAAUUUGCAACUGGAAUUGAAAAUACUAAUGCAGGUUUGAUAUUGGAACUGGAAAGGUUCUUCUCAAGCUAUGCAAACAAGUUUAAGUACUCCCAGAUAUAAUUGACAUAGUCUUAAAUGAUAAAGUAAAAAGAUGUAUCUUUCUUUUAGAUGUUAUUGUCCAUCUUACUGCUACAGGACAAGCUAGCACAGAUUUCCUACUGUGUAUUAAUAUAAUUUAGUUAGCUUUAUGAUAGUUCAUUAGAAUAGCCAGUCUUGCAUUUUUGUGACUACUUACAGUAGUUUCUUUGGAUCGUCUUCUUGGCUGCACCAAGCCUUUUAAUAAGUUCUUAAAAAUUAAAAUCCCCAUUUUACAUGUCUUUUAUA